rnacentral:misc_RNA from 1 species
AAAGCUUGUCGAACUAUCGAUUGUGUGGCAAAUUGAGGUUUGGGUAUGGAAGGAUGGUGAGUAUCAUUGAUGGCAGCCAUAGCUGGUGCUGUUUUGGACCUGUGGAGAUUAGUCUUGGUCCCCGUAUAAUUGGGGUCGAUCAACCAAGACUGUUGCUGCCUGCUGCUGUUGUUGCGGUAAUUCUUGAGCGAUUGCGUUGAGUUCUGGAUUGGAACACGACUGUUUUGGCGAGUUGAGAGAGAGAGUCAAAGCCUCAACAAUGGGAGAAGCGUCGAUAGAAGAGGCUGCAGAAGGGCCAAAAAUAAGGCGUUCUUUAAGUGCUGAAGGUGUAAAAGGGAUAGGUAGAGAGACUUCAUCAUGCUCGGGGAGAGAGGAGAGCAGCGACAACGGUUGCGGCGGCGUUCUCCGCCUUGGGCUGUGAUAUGACAGCAGGGGCUCUUUCUCCAUCUGGGUAACCAAAAAGGAUAAAUCUUUGGUGGUUUUGGAGGAACAGGAAUAGUGAGGUGGUGAAAGAAAACUAAAAACUGCGUAGGAUUGAAUGACACAAUGACGAAUCAGAGAAUUGCAGAGGCGACAAAGGUUGAGAGAUCAACAGAGAAAGCAUACAAACAGAAANNNNNNNNNAGUGGGCGUGUCACAUGUGCGUGGUGUUAUGCUAGGGAGAGAUGGAAAGACGAGGGAGUUUGAUUCGGCCUUUUUGUUGCAGAGCCAUCCA